GAAGGCUGUGACUUGCCAACAAAAUGAUUCCCAGAAGACUGCGUUACUAACUGUGAAGCACUCUGCCCCAGGAAGGGGGCUGUAAAUCAGACUUCUUGUUUUAUUUCACUGCUGUACAGCUUUUGGAAAGCACCGACCAGCCUCUCUUCUUCCAGAAAGGAAAAAAAUGCUUCCAUCUCCUUAUUCUGCUUUCCCCUCCCCCUCCUGUUUGCAGCCUCUGGAGUUCAGGGAACAUAUCUGACCUGUCCCUGAACAUUCUCCCUUCUGCCUCUUUGUUCGCGCUGUUCCAUCUUCCCAUACCACCCUUCCACAAACCCCACGCUGACCCCCUGAGACCCUUGCCCGGCCCCAGGCCCACCUCAGAUGCCACCCGCCAAGGAGCCUUCCCUCAUUCCAACCACCUGGGUAGAAAACCUGCCAUCUCUUUACGUGAUAGUCCUUUGGAAGCACCUUCGAUUUUAUUUAGCACAUUCUACCUUAUUUUGCUGGUCUAAAGCAGUAAGAGUCCAGGGCAGCCACCGUUUAUCGAGAGCUUUGAGUGUGCCAGUCACCAUGCAAAGGACUUACAUGCCAUUAUGGUUUGAAUGUUUGUGUCUCUCCAAAAUUCAUGUUGGAGCUUUGGGAGGUGAUUAGGCUAUGAGGGCUCCACCCUCGUGAAUGGGAUUAAUGCCCUCAUAAGGGAGGCUCCAGAGAGCUGCCUGGCUCUUCUGUCUUUUCUGUCAUGUGAGAACACAUUGUCCCUUCCACCUCUUCCAUCACAGGAGGACACCUAGAUGGCACCAUUUAUGAGGAAGGAACCCUCCCUACACACUUAACCUGCUGGCACCUUGAUCUUGGACUUUCUAGGCUUCAGAGGAAAUGAGUUUCUGUACUUUAUAAAUUAUCCAGUCUCGGGUAUUUUAUUAAAGCUUACAAACAGACUUGUAUUAUCUCCUUUAUCUUGCAAACCUCUAUAGCCAUGUCCAUUUUAUUGAGGCUCAGAGAUGCUAAGGAGCCCAAGGUCACACAGCUAGUAAGGAACAGGUCCAGGCAUUCAUUCAUUAAUGAAUUCAUUAAUUCGUUCAAUCAACCAAUCUUUACUUAUUUAUUAAAGGCCUAUAAUGUGCUAGUCAAAGUCUAGAUGUUGGGAAAAUAACAGUAAUCAAGUCAAAGUGCUCGUCCACAAGGAGCUACCAUUCUAGCGGAAGAAACAUAUCCUAAAGAAAAAUACAAGUCAAUAAAUACUGUGUCAGGUGGUGAUAAAUGCUAUGGGGAAGAAAGAGGGUUAGUGAUGGCUGAAGUGGGUCUGCUGUUUAUAUAGGGUGGUCAAGGUGAUCUGGCAACAUUUGAGCGGAGAUCUAAAGGAAAUGAGUCAUGCAGAGAUCUGCAGGAAAAAACAUCACAGGAGGUGGGAACAGCCUAUGCAAAGGCCCUGGGGUGGGCACAUCUAUGGUAUGUUGGAGAGGCAGCGAGGAGUUUAGUGUGGCUGGAGCUGAGUGAGUGAGGGGAGAUAAACUUAGGUGACAGGGGUUAGAUCACGGAGGGCCUCGUGGUCAUGGCAGGAACUUCGGUUUUGACUUUGAUGAAACAGGGAGCCACUAAAGGACAACUCCCAGAACCCAUGUCCUUAAUUGCUAUGCUAUACUACUGAUGGAUUACGUGAAUGAAUGCCGAAAGGUACUUGUGGACUUUUUCUCAUUAAAACCAGCAGGAUGGUGGCCCAGAGAGUCUAGAAACAACGCAUGGAAGGGCAAGAUGUGAGUUAACAAGGAGGGCUAAUUAGGAAGGGGGAAAAGUGCCCAUUGCCUUGGUUGCCGGGAGUCUCUGAGGCUCCCACAGCACAGGACUGUGUAGGGCCCCGUGAUAGCCCCAGUGGGUCCUCUACCUGGAUUUGCAGAGUAGAUUUUCCAGGCCUGCCCCAGAUGGGUCUCAGCCCUUCCAUGAAAUAUGUCCUUUGCUAACAAGAGGCAGUGAGAAAAAGCCAACGUCUGCAAUGACUCACCAGAGAGAAAUGAAAAUUGUGCCCAGACUGGAAAAGAACCCAUCUGAAAGUGACACAUUUGCCUCCAAAAUAUAUAUACAUAUAUAUAAAGCUUUUUCUUUUCUUUUUCCUUCUCAUUUGAAGGAAGGCAGAGCCUUCUCACAUACACUGCCUCACAGCAGGAAAAUCUACUCUGCAAACUUCUGAAAUUCCUGUCCUUAUUCCUGUCGCAAUUCUAUGAGGCAAAAGGAUAUCAUAUCUGGGGAGGUGGCCAUUUCACGGCAGGACAGCAAGCGUGUGCCCUGGCAUUCCCAGGACAAUCCCAAUAGCAAAUAUUCUUCUGAUUGGCUGCCCCCCUCCCCCAGCCCCACUGCCAACUAACCAGCUAUUCUGACUUGGGAGUGCGUACGUUAAAAUGCAGAUUCUGGGAACUCUGAUUCAGGAGGUCUGGGAGGAAGCCCGGACACUGCACUUCAAAUAGAGAACCUCCAAUGAUUCUGAUACAGCCUGUCUAAGAAACGCUUCUCCAAACCACAGGAAUAGUCCCAGUAGCCCUAGCCUUCUGCAUCUAUGCUUAAAGGAUGAAGUGACUCCAAUCCUUUCUCAGACCACAGGGAGGCACAUUUUAGCUCCUGGCAGAGGUCAGAAUGCUCCUGGCCAAAUCAGAGUGGUGGAGAAUCUUGAAAUCCCAGUCCUUGCCCCUGUCCAUUCCAACUCUCUUCAUUUAUCUUCCUGACUUGAGCUUCUGGACUCUGCCGAGCAUUUGCUCUCUGGGUCAUAGCCAGGAAGGCCCCGGUGCUGAGGCAUGGAGCUGCCCUGGGUCUUGGAUACAAGCCACAGCUGGAGAGGGGGUCAGACCUUGCCUAAGCCUCUGAUCAUGAAGUAUAACAGAAAUGCCUAAUUGUGAUUAUGAAACACUGUUUCACGUCUUAAUUUGUUGAAGUUACAUGUUGACAGUAGGUACUGCCUUAGCAGGUGGAAACAAAAGGGUCCUACAUCUAUUAUUACUGUAAUUUACUGGAAUAAGGAGCCACCAGAUGCAGCCCUGGCUCACACCCCUUCCUCAUGAAUUACAAAGCUGGUCUGAGGGCCCUGUCAGUUGCUGGCUUUGGGCACCAACAUUGCUAAUUAAAAUCUUCCUGUGGUGCACUCCACUUUGUUGAGAUCUCUGCUCAGAUGCCAUCUUCCUUACCCACUGGUCUAAAUGACUCUCUUCCCCAGUGCCCUUCUCUUGUUAUUUCUAACCUCUUAGCCUACUUUAUUUUCCUUCAGAGCAUCCACCACUACUUGAAUUACAAAUUGAUUUAUUUGCUUGCUACUUUAUCAUCUGCCUUAAUCCAUCUAGAAGGUAAGUUCUUUAAGAGCUAUGACGUUGUCAUGUUCAACACUGUAUUUUGAUGCCUUGCACAUAACAGGCACUCAACUGAUAGUUGCUGAAUGAAUCAAUCAAUGAUAAAUGAAUGAAUGUUACAAUGUUCUGAGGGCCCUGGAGUCAUGUCUAACUGCAUGAUGCUCUACUUAUUGGAUCCAGUGGUCUUUGCGGACUAAGCAGAUACACAAAAAAUAACAACAGCUGCUUUUUUUUUUUUUUUCUUUUGAGACAGGAUCUUGCUCUGUUGCAUAGGCUGGAGUGCAGUGGCACAAUCUUGGUUCACUGCAACCUCUGCCUCCCGAGCUCAAGCAAUCCUCCCACCUUGGCCUCCCCGGUAGCUGGGACUGUGAAUGCGCACCACCACACCUGACUAAUUUUUGUAUUUUUUGGUAGAGAUGGGGUUUCACCGCAUUGCCCAGGCUGGCCUCAAACACCUGGGCUCAAAUGAUCCGCCUGCCUUGGGCUCCCAGAGUGCUGGGAUUACGGGUGUGAGCCUCCGCACCCAGCCAAUAGCUGUUUUAUUUAGUGCUUACUAUGUACUGGGUGUACACACCAUCUCAUUUUAUCCUCAGAGUAGUUUUGCAAGGUCGGGAUUAUUAACCCCAUUUAUUUAUUUAUUUUUUUGAGACAGGGUCUCGUUUUGUCACCCAGGCUGGAUACACUGGCACGUUCAAUAGUUCACGGCAGCCUCGACCUCCCGGGCUCAAGCAACUCUCCCAUCUCAGCAUCCCGAGUAGCUGAGACCACAGGUACUCACCACCAUGCCCAGCUAAUUUUUGUAUCUUUUUUGGUAGAGACAGGGUUUCACCAUGUUGCCCAGGUUGCUCUGAACUCCUGGGCUCAAGUGAUCUGCCUGCCUCAGCCUGCCAAAGUGCUGGGAUUACAGGCAUGAGCCACUGCAUGUGGCCCUAUUAACUCCACAUAAGAGAUAUAAAAACCAAUGACAAAGUCACCCAGCCAGUAAGGGAAGAGGCGGAAUUCAAACUUAAGUCAUUUAAUGCCAAGGUCUUCACUGUGUCUCACGACAACUGCAUUUGAUGCGAUCUAACUUGUGUUGACACUGGGAUAGGAUCCAGAGACAAGCAAGACAAGGUCCCUAAUGCCAGAAGUUCAGGGUCUAUCUCGGCAGCACAGCAGAAUAAGGAUGAGCAAGCAAUUAGAAUUCACCUCCACAUCCGAGCCUCAUCCUGUACUAGCUGAGCCUCAGCUCCCUCCUCUGUAAAAUAGAGUACUAAUUCACCAAAAUAAUGGAGCCAUAAGUCAUCAGUCCUCUGCUAUGUGAGGACACAGCAAGAAGGCAGCCACCUGCAAGCGAGAAGAGGCCCUACACCAGAGCCUGGCCAUGGUGGCACCCUGAUCUCAGACUUCCAGCCACCAGACCUGUGAGAAAUCAAUGUUUGCUGUUAAGGCUGCCUAGUCCAUGACAUUUUGUUAUAUAUAGCAGCCUGAACUAAAACAGUAGUGAUUCUGGAAGUCAGGUCUACUAGCCAAACACUGUGAACCACCGAUACAUUUAAUUCCAUUACACAGAUCCAAAGUAGUUUUAUUAUCAAACUAAAGGUACAAAGAAAAGAGUCAAGAAUCUCUAGGCAAUUAAAAAUUAGCAUCACAAUCUAGGUGCGGUGGCUCAUGCCCAUAAUCCCAGUAUUUAGGAUUCCCAGUACUGGGGAGGCUGAGGCGGGAGGAUCACUUGAGGCCAGGAGUUCAAGAUCAGCCUGGGCAAUAGAGCAAGAACCUACCUCUACAAAAAAUAUAAAAACUAGUCAGGCAUCGUGGCAUAAGCCUGUAGUCCCCACUACUUGGGAGGCUAAGGUGGGAGGAUUGCUUGAGCCCAGUUAUUUGAGACUGCAGUGAGCUAUAAUCAUACUACUGCACUCCAGCCUGGACAGCAGAGCAAGACUCUUAAAAAAAUUACCAUCACAAAUCAAUUAUGUUCAAAUCUCUCUGUUAAUAAGUAUUUCUUGAUUGGGCUGUUUAGAUUUUAGCAUCUACGUGGGCAAUACAAGGCAGUUGAGGGUGAAGGAAACUGGCAUCUCAUGGCUGGGGUGAUGCAAAUUAUUACUCUCUGUGGGCAGUUUUGUAGCUUUUACUCAAAAUCUUUAAAAUGUACAUAUUCUUUGGCUCUGCAGUUCUACUUCUGAGAAUCUUUCAUCCCACAGGGUACAAAAAGAUGUUCACCAUAGUGUUAUUUUUAUUACUGGAAAGUGGGACACAAUAUAAACAGCAGUCAUUACGGGACUGGUCCCAUGUUAGCACACAAGAACACCGGGAUGGUAUACAGCGAUUAAUAAUCAUGUGGCUUUCUCUGCUGACAUGGGAAAGUGUCCAUAAUAGUUUGUCAAAUUAAGAAGAUGACAAAACGGUACAUAAUCAUAUUUCUGUAACAUCGUAUGUAUGGGUGUGUAUGCUUGCAGAAAAGUCUACAAAAAUAUUCCCUGGAUUGUUCACAGUGGCUUUAUCUUGGUAGAAGGAUUUCAAGUGAUAUUUUUUCAAACUUUUGAUUUAACAGAUAGUAUUGUGUUAGGAAGCUAAGCAAAAAAACCCUCAAAAAACAAAAAACUAGAGUGGCCAGGAGUGGUGGCUCAUGCCUGUAAUUCCAGCACUUUGGGAGGCCAAGGCGGGUAGAUCGCUUGAGCUCAGAAGUUGGAGACCAGCCUGGCCAACAUGGCGAAACUGUCUCUACAAAAAAAUACAAAAAUUAGCUGGGCGCAGUGGUACAUGUCUGGAAUUUCAGCUACUUGGGAGGCUGAGUCAUGAGAAUCACUUGAACCUGGGAGGCAGAGGUCACAGUGAGCCAAGAUUGCACCACUGCACUCCAGCCUGGGUGACAGAGUGAGAGCCUGUCUCAAAAAAAAAAAAAAAAAGAAAAAACUGGAGUCAAUCUAAAAUUGCUUUAAAGAAAAGUGUUGAGGAAAUAAUAGAACAGGCAGGAAAGAGAUGUGAGAAAAUGGCAAAGGGGAGUGUGAAAGUUUGGCAAACACAGUUUUAAAUUCUUCAUCCUGCUCUUGCGUGGAAAGACUGUCUGCUCUUGCUUCUAAGUGAUAAACAUCUUAGUGGGAAAACCUCUUCCUUUUAUUUACCCAUUGACCCAGUUUUGGUGGUCAAUGACGCCCGCCCUUCCUGACAGAUGUUGGGGCAUGGGCCAGACAGGCCCGCUGGGUACACAAGGAUGCCCGCUCUUCUCCCUUGAUCCUGCAGUGGCUCCCUAGGGCCUCCAAGUAGGGGGAGUAGUUCUGUUGAUGGAGGGGUCACUAUGUACAAAGACUGAGCUGAAAUUUCUUGCACACCUUCUCAGAAUCACCCUAGGAGGGAAGCUUUUUGAAUGACCCCAUUUUAUUGAAAAAGAAACUAAGGCUCACAGAGGUCAAGGGUCUUGUCCAAGAUCACACAGCAAGUAAGCGAAGGACCUCACGCUCCAGUUCAGGUCGGCCUCUUUCUUUUGUUUUUUUGAGACAGAGUCUCGCUCUGUCGCCCAGGCUGGAGUGCAGUGGCAUGAUCUCGGCUCACUGCAAGCUCCGCCUCCCAGGUUCACGCCAUUCUCCUGCCUCAGCCUCCUGAGCAGCUAGGACUACAGGCGCCGCCACCACACCCGGCUAAUUUUUUGUAUUUUUUUUUUAAGUAGAGACGGGGUUUCACCGUGUUAGCCAGGAUCGUCUGGAUCUCCUGACCUCGUGAUCCACCCGCCUUGGCCUCCCAAAGUGCUAGGAUUACAGGCGUGGGACACCGUGCCCAGCCCAGGUCCUUGUGCCCUUCGAGGGUGCAGACGGUGGUCUCUGCAUCUCCUUUGCUCCACGUGCCAGGCACAGGUGCCUGGGAACUACAGAAGAGGUUGAAUAGAAGGCUUAACAAUGAGUUUGGAAGUCAGGCACAGAGGGUUUGACUUCCGGGGGCACCCCUUGCCAGCUGUAUGACCCUGGCAAGUCACUCUUCCUUUCUGCGCCUUGGUCCCUGCAUCUAUAAAUUGCUGUAAGGAUGAAAUUACAUAAUUAUAGGUAAAGCACCUGGCACAGUGAACAGUCCACAAAUCUUAGCUAUAAUAACAAUGACGUCAGUUAAGUAACUCACUUAGAAACAACACUGGCCACUGAAGUGGAGGGCCAGUGAAGUGGAGUCAAGUGCUGGGAGGAAGUCCAGGCCAGCAGGCCAACUUUGGUAUACAAAGAUGUGAAAACACGCUUGGCGUGGUGGCUCACGCCUGUAAUCCCAGCACUUCGGAAGGCCGAAGCAGGCAGAUCACCUGAGGUCAGGAGUUCCAGACCAGCCUGGCCAAGAUGGCGAAACUCUGUCUCUACUAAAAAUAUAAAAAUUAGCCAGGCGUGUUGGCGUGUGCCUGUAGUCCCGGCUACUCCUCGGGAGGCUGAGGCAGGAGAAUCACUUGAACCUGGGAGGCAGAAGUUGCAGUGGGCCGAGAUUGCACCAUUGCACUCCAGCCUGGGUGACAGAGCAAGACCCUGUCUCAAAACAAAAAAACAAAGAUGUGAAAACAGCCAACCACCAGGUGGCAAUCCAUGCAAGAGCCCAGCUGCCGGGUGUGCCCCAGCUUCAAGCCAGACAGACCUCAGACAUCCAGGGCCUGGGGAAGGUCCAGCCCCAAAUGGCAGCCAUCUGAUAGCAGCAAAAGAAAACCUGUGGGCCAGGCGCGGUGGCUCACGCCUGUAAUCUCAGCACUUUGGGAGGCCGCGGCGGGCGGAUCACGAGGUCAGGAGUUCAAGACCAGCUUGGCCAAUAUGGUGAAACCCCAUCUCUACUAAAAAUACAAAAAUUAACUGGGUGUGGUGGCGCAUGCCUGUAGUCCCAGCUACUCAAGAGGCUGAGGCAGAAGAAUCACUUGAAUCUGGGAGGCGGAGGUUACAGUGAGCCGAGAUAGUGCCGCUGCACUCCAGCCUGGGCAACAGAACGAGACUGUCUCAAAAAAAAAAAAAAAGAAAACCUGUGAACCUGGGGGCUGGGGAACAGAGCUCUUGCCCAUGCGAAACAUGGGGUGCUGGGAGAGCUCAUGAAAAUGUACAUCAUUCAUGUGCCAUGCGCUUGCUGAGUACUUCCCAUGCAUAAUUCAAUUUCAGCCUCAUGGCAGCCUUUCUCAGUUGAUGUUGUUAUCCCAGUUCAGAGAGGAGUAAACUGAGGCCCAGAGAAGUUAAAAAACUUGCCCAAGGACAUACAGCUAGUGAGUGGUGGAGCUGGGAUUUGAACCCAGGCAGUCUGUUUCCAGAGAACUGCUUCAGGCCCUCCUGCCCCUAUCAAGAGGCCAGGGCAGGGCAGAGCCUACAGGUGGGACUCCAGGGGUCCAGAGCUGGAUGAUCUACACACAGGGGAUCACAUGAUGCAAGCAGUUUCCGUACAAUGCGUUCUAUUUAGGGUGGGUUGUCCUUCUCCAGAAGGAAGAAUUUCUCCCUGGAGACUGGCCAGAUGCAGCCUGGUGGGUGGCAGUGCAUACAUUCCCAUCUCCUCAGACCUACCUACCAAGAACAGCCGCGCUGAUGAGAGUCCUGUGUCACUGGCGAAAUUGCUUCCAAAUUGCCUUCUUCAUUAACUGUGCAAAUUUGCAUCUUAAUUAGGCUUAAUGGAAUACAAUUACCAGACCCCACGUUUCUCUCUCUGAUUUCAAGCAAGGAUGCCACAGAGACAGGCCAGAAGCCAAAAACGUGGGGCUGGAGGGAGCCUGGUUGGGCUCUCCCUGCAGGAAACCUCGCAUCUGGGAAAGGAGGGGCCAGGCGCUACCCAGCGGGGACUGCACCUGGUACAUCCAGGCUCCUGAACUGAGGAGACCAUGGGAUUUGGAAUCAAGCUUUGGGAAGCCUGCCUCUGCCUCUGACCAGUGGAGGACUGACCCUUUCUGAGCCUCUGUUUUCUCAUUUGUAAAUUGGAGAUGGUGAUAACAUUUACUAUGGGGUAGCUGCAGGGAUCAAAGGUGAUCGCGUGUGUGUUAGCACCUGGUAAAGCACCUAACACGUAGUUUGUUCUCUUUCUCCAUGCCCUCCCUUUUUGAGGCCUACAAGGUUGUGCAGAGCUGAUCCCGGCCUUCCCCUUCGGUGAUUCAGUGAGCGUCAGCUUAUUUCAUCCUCCCUUCCAUGCUCUGGCCAUACACACUUCUGAGUCCUGGGAAGGCUCUAAGCUCCUUCCUGUCUUGUGAGCUUUUCAAGUGCUAUUCCCUCUGCUUGGAACACCUGACCCCUGGUUAGUACCUACUCAUCCUUCCAAUCUCAGCUCAAACAGCACUGUCUCCAGGAAGCCUUCCCUAGCCCCAGAAUAAACUCUCCUAACAUCAUUUAUCUAUGGGAUUAUUUAAUAUGUGUCCCUCUCUCUCCCACAGACAGUAAGCUCCAUGAGUGCAGAGAACACUUCUAUUGUGUUCUCUGUUGCAUCUCCAGCUCCUGGUUCAGGGCUUAUCACAUAGUAGGUCCCAUUCAUGUCUGUUUAAUGGAUGGAUAUGAACAUCCCACUGAGCCUCAGCGAAUGUCAAGUGGGAGCCAUAAUCUCAUCCUUAUGGUGCUGUGAAAUCAUUAAAUGAUUUUUGGCACACAGUAGGUGUUUGACGAAUGAGAUACCUAUUCUCCCAUUCCUUUCAAUUAAGGAAAAGUUAGAAGCAGGCAUAUAGGUAGCUUAAAGGACAGCAUGUUCAUGGAUAGGAACCCCCAAUAUUGUCUAGAUGUCAGUUUUUACCAACUUGAUUUAUAGAUUUAAUGCAACCCCAAUCAAAAUUCCAGCAAGUUAUUUUGUGGAUAUAAGCAAACUGAUUAUGAAGUUUAUAUGGAGAGCAAAAGACCCAGAAUAACCAACACAAUAUUGAGGGAGAAGAGCAAAGUUGGCAGACUGACACUACCCAACUUUAAGACUUACUAUAAAGCUACAGUAAUUAAUAUGGUAUUGGUGAAACAAUAAACAGAGUAAUGGAACAGAAUCCAGAAUCCAGAGAUAAAUCGACAUAAAUACAGUCAAGUUGUUUUUGACAAAAGGGCAAAGUCAAUACAAUGGAGAAAAAUUCUUUUCAGCAAAUGGUGCUGGAACAACUGGACAUCCACAUGCAAAAAAGUACAUCUAGAUACAGACCUUACACCCUUCAGACAAAGUAACUCAAAAUGGACCAUAAGCCUAAGCAUAAAACCAAAAUUAUAAAACUCCUAGAAGAUAACACAGGAGAAAACCUGGAUGACCUUGGGUUGGCAAUGACUUUUUAGAUACAAUACCAAAGGCAUGCUCCUUGAAAGAAAUAAUUAAUUGAGAAGCCAGAAGGCAAAAUGGUACAGCCAUUUUGGAAGACAGUUUGGCCGUUUCUCACAAAACUAAAUAUACUCUUACCAUACCAUGCAGCAAUUAUACUCCUUGGUGUUUACCCAAGACUUGAAAACUUGUGUCUACACAAAAAUCUGCACGAGUGUUUAAAGCAGCUUUAUUUUUAUUUAUAAUUGCCAAAGCUUGGAGGCAAGUAAGAUGUCCUUUGGUAAGUGAAUGGGUAAACUAUGGUUCAUCCAGAUAAUGAGAUACUAUUCAAUGUUAAAAAUAAAUAAGCUAUCAAGCCAUGGGGAGAGAUGGAGGAAACUGACAUGCAUACUAUUAAGUGAAAGAAGCCCAUCUGAAAACGCUACGUACUAUAUGGUUCCAACUGUAUGACGUCCUGGAAAAGGCAAAACUUUGGAAACAGUAAAAAGAUCAAUGGUUAGCAGGAUUUGGGCAGGGGAAGGGAUGAAUAGGCAGAUCACAGAUGAUUUUUAGGAGAGUAAAAAAUGCACGGUAUUAGAAUGAUGGAUACAUAUUAUCCAUUUGUCCAAACCCACAGAAAGUGCAACAUCAAGAGGGAGCCCUCAUGGAAACUGUGGCUCUGGGUGACAAUGAUGUGUCAUGUAGGCUCAUCCGUGGUAACAAAUGCACCACUCUGUGGGGAUGUUGACAGUGCAGGGGACUGUGCAUAUGUGAGGACAGAGGGUACAUGUAAAUCUCUAUAUCUUCAGCAGAAUUUUGCUGUGACCCUAAGACUGCUUGAAGAAAAAUAAAGUCUUCGUUAAAACAAAACAAAA
rnacentral:lncRNA from 10 species